ACAAACUUGGUCAUUUAGAGGAAGUAAAAGUCGUAACAAGGUCUCCGUUGGUGAACCAGCGGAGGGAUCAUUACAGGGUCGCAAGACUCCAAAACCCACUGUGAACCUUACCGUACGUUGCCUCGGCGGGCGGCCCCAGGGCGGGGCCCCCGGCCUGCCGUUCUUCGGCAGGCGCCCGCCGAAGGCCCUUUUUACAAGGACUCUUUUUAUACAGUUACCUUUCUGAGCUACGUGUUUAAAAUAAAGUCAAAACUUUCAACAACGGAUCUCUUGGUUCUGGCAUCGAUGAAGAACGCAGC
rnacentral:misc_RNA from 1 species